CAGCCUUUGACAUGCCUAGUAUGGUUCCCAGAGAUGGAUUCCUUGUCUUCGGACGCUAGGACACAGGUGCUGCAUGGCUGUCGUCAGCUCGUGUCGUGAGAUGUUGGGUUAAGUCCCGCAACGAGCGCAACCCUCGUCCUUAGUUGCCAUCAUUCAGUUGGGCACUCUAAGGAAACCGCCGGUGAUAAGCCGGAGGAAGGUGGGGAUGACGUCAAGUCCUCAUGGCCCUUACAGGCUGGGCUACACACGUGCUACAAUGGCGGUGACAGUGGGCAGCGACCCCGCAAGGGUGAGCUAAUCUCCAAAAGCCGUCUCAGUUCGGAUUGUCCUCUGCAACUCGAGGGCAUGAAGGCGGAAUCGCUAGUAAUCGCGGAUCAGCAUGCCGCGGUGAAUACGUUCCCAGGCCUUGUACACACCGCCCGUCACACCAUGGGAGUUGGUUUCACCCGAAGGUGGUGCGCUAACCUCGCAAGAGGAGGCAGCCAACCACGGUGGGAUCAGCGACUGGGGUG
rnacentral:rRNA from 1 species